AGGGUUCGAUUCUGGCUCAGGACGAACGCUGGCGGCGUGCCUAACACAUGCAAGUCGAACGGAGAUAAGCGCUGAUGAUUUAGCUUGCUAUUGAUUCUUGUUUAUCUUAGUGGCGGACGGGUGAGUAACGCGUGAGCAACCUGCCUUUCAGAGGGGGAUAACGUCUUGAAAAGGACGCUAAUACCGCAUGAGAUCGUAGUCCCACAUGGGACAGCGACCAAAGGAGCAAUCCGCUGAAAGAUGGGCUCGCGUCCGAUUAGAUAGUUGGCGGGGUAACGGCCCACCAAGUCGACGAUCGGUAGCCGGACUGAGAGGUUGAACGGCCACAUUGGGACUGAGACACGGCCCAG
rnacentral:rRNA from 1 species